GGGGCCGUAGCUCAAGAGGAGAGCAGCCGGUUUGCACCCGGCCGAUGCGAGUGCGAUUCUCGCCGGUUCCACCA
rnacentral:tRNA from 1 species